rnacentral:lncRNA from 1 species
UUAAAGGGAAGUUCUCUUCUUACCUGUAUGGAACCUGUAAUGCAGUCCGAAACCCAGAAUUCUCAUAUAGACUUGAGUAGACUUUGAGGUCCUCCUCAGUGAACCAUGGCGGUAGAGGGGCAGAUGGGUCAGCCAAGUCCAUAAUCUCCUGGUCGUCACUGGCUACUUGGAGCUCACUUCUACAGAAGAGCAUGUAGAUGUUUCUUAUCACUGUCUUAACAUCAAAGCGGCCAAAAUCUGCUUCAGCUCGCCCUGGCUCCUGCAAUUAGACAGGUAUUAAUGGUAAUGAACAUGGAAGUGAGCAAUGUAAGAGGCUGAAAAAGAAGGUGAUGAAAGCGAAAAACUGAACCUGCCACCUCAAUACGUAGAAGCCUUUGGGAAAGAGAUGCAUUGGGAUAACAGAAAAACCUGGUAGCAUGCAAGGGAUACCUAAUGUAAUGACUCCAGACACCCUUUCAGGGUGGAGCACGGCUACAUGGAAAACUGGACCAGCUCCAAAGUCCUUCCCUACUAGGAAAGCCUGCACCAACAAUCACACAAUCAGCAACAACUAGUUUAUUAAUUGUAAGCCCGAAGAUUACAACAUUAGUUUACAAAAGAUAUCUCAUUGAUUAAUUUAAGUUAAAUGUAAUCAGAAUUAAAUUAAAAUCAAAUCAAAUUCCUUGACUUGAGGAACCGGAAUGAGUCUCUAACAUGUCCCUGCAAGACGAUACUCCUGUUAAAGAUACCAAUCUGGGUGCAUAAAAAUUGGAAUUGAUGGGAUUUUGGGAGAGAUAAGACAUGCCAAAGGAGUAGUAAUAUGGUCUCAAACUAAAUGAUGGUCCAUCAAGAUAUGUUUCGUCUUAGAAAGAAAGGAACAUGGAACAUCGGGUUUAUACUAUUGAAGUAUGAUUUAGAUAGGUUGUCAAGCAGUUUUCAAAGUGGAAAUUGGUACAAAUAUAUUUCAACAUAUAUGGAUAUUUGUAUGAUUCUCUCAAUGCUAUAAUCCCUGCCAAUGAACAGUUUCACAUGGAAAGAUGCCCAUCGUAUAUUCCUCUAUCCCUUCAGUGAUAUGACAGCUUCUGACCAAGACUUUUGCGCAUAGACCUAACAUGUUUGAAUUUGUCCCUUAUGUCUUUUUUUCCACACUCAGAGUUAAAAAACUAAUGCAUACGUAAGCAAAAGAAAUUAUGUACAAGAAUGGAAUCAGGUAUGAAAAACGAGACAAUGAGACUCUAGAAAUACACGGCGGCCGGCGGGUACACAUGAUCUGAUUGAAGUUUUUCCGGUCCUCUAAUGAAGUUUUUCGUCUCUUAUCUUCCCACUCUGUCUUUCACAUUCCCCGAAAAAAAAAAAUGAAAAAGAAGCAAAACCAUCUGGGUUCGGUUCAGUCCCAUUUCUCUGAUCUCCACCUUUGAAGACAGUUAAGCUAACAAUUUGAUUCAAAAGGUUAAACUGCUAACAAUUGUUGAAAUCAAAUCAACAUCAUCCUUGCAGUCUCAUACCCACACAUGAGAUCAUGGAUAAACAGAUUCUGAAAAUAAAAAAAUCAGAGAUUCAAACUCAAACUAAAAACCCCAAGUUACCAAACGAACAUCGAAUUCAACCUUGAAGAUCAGUUCAAAGUUUUUUGAAAUCUUAUUGAUGGCUUAUUAUAUAGUACCUUACUGAUGCCCAAACCGUCCAUAACUCCAAUGACAUCAACCACAAGAUCGUCAAAAGACGCCUUCUCAGGCUCAGGAGGCUGUUGGGAGAGCCCAUAGCCCCUAAAAUCAAAGGCAAUUGCUCUGUAUCCAGCGGCUGCAGCGGCAACCAUUUGGUGCCUCCAUGAAUACCAUAUUUCAGGGAAACCAUGCAGGAACAGCACCACCUUAGGACCUGCACAGGGACUUCUUUUAGAGGAAUGGAUACAAAAUUAAAGUAACUUCCAGUGGUGUCAAAGCAUAAGGUUUGUUCUUCACCUGUGCCCAACUCAGCCACAUGAAGCUUCAGUCCGCUCACUUCAACAUACUUAUGCUGUAUCUGCUCCAUCUUUCCUAUAGGCUUUUUUUCUUUUAAUGAGAGAUUGAAAGGAAGCCCUUUUUGUAGAGACAGGAGGGGUUGACUUUGUGCUUUUGAUGGGUUCUGGGACAGCAGAAGAAUGUUAUAUUUUGGUUUUUCCGAAAAUUUGAGGGAAAAUGUCCGAAAAAAAAAAAAAAAAGUUAAAAGAAAAUAAAAAAUAAAUUAAAUAUCAAUAUAUCAUUUUUAUAUACAAUUUCAAGCUUAUUUUAUUUAUUUUAAUUCAUCUGUCUAAAAAUUAAAUAAUUUAAAAAUAUAUAAAAUUUUAAUUAAUUUUAAUUUUAAUUUUCUUUUUAUAUUUUCAUAUGGCAAUCAAAUAUAAAAAAUUAUUUUCUUUUAUUUAUUUUUUCUUUCCUUAAUGUUUUUUAAGAACCAAACAUAAUCUAAAUCAUUUCAUGUCUACUUUCACUACAAAUCAAUAUCAUUAGUCCUCAUAAUUAUUUUUGAAAGUAACUUUCAAAAACAAUUUUUAACCACUGUUUUCUAAUACCUUAUAAAACAAAAAUCGAAAAUUUAAAAUAUUUUUAAUUAUUCUUUAUUUUAUAUAAUUAUUUUUAAAAAUAAUUUUUAAAAAAUAAUUAAAAAUAUUAUUUGAAAACACAUAUUUCCCAUUUUUAAUAAUAGAAAACAAAAAACAUGACUUUAUUUUUUUUUUAAUAAUAAAAAAAGACAUUUUUAUAAUUAUCAAACGUGUUUUCCAAACAGAAUUAAAAAAAAAAAAAAAAGGUUGUCAAAUAGGGUUUUAAUAUUUGUUUUUGUUUUGUUUUUUCUUUAAUUCUGUUGUUUCUCUUUUUUUAAUUAUUUAUUUUUAUUAUCAUCACCUUGUUAUCACUUGUCACGUCUAUUUUCUAAAGGCUCGCAGCUACGUUUUGGUUUCAAAAAGUAACAAGAAAUGAAAAAAAAUAAAAUAACACUAUGUUUGGUUAUAUAAAUAUUUAAUUUUUUUUAUAUAAAAGAUUUAAAUAAGUUAAAUAAAUUUGAAAUAUGAUAUCAAAAUAAUUUAUUUACUUUAAAUUUAUAUAUAUAUAUAUAAUUUUUUUUUUCUUGUAUUUUUUCUCAAAUUUUCCUAAAAUCAAACUAUGCUAAAAAAAAUAAAUUUUUCAUAAUACAAAUAUAUGUAAACCCUUUUAGAAGUGAGGGGGGCCCGGGGAAGCUUGUUUCUUCUCCUUCUCCUUUUGCAUGACAUGUGUGGAAGAAGAGAGGGGGGGGGGGGGGACCUUCCCAUGCAUGGCCUGAGACGCGGACAACCGGCAGGAGGCAUGGCUGCCCAUGGGAGUGGUUGGGGUCUCCCAUGCUGGCUGACGGGGGGGAAUAGGAAGGUGGCUGGGGUUUUCUAGAGGAGGGAGGACACGGGAGAGGGGCAGCCGGGAGAGAGGAGAUUUUUUGGGGGGGAAGAAGGUAAAGGUAUGACUGCCAUUAAUCUUUGGUUUUUCUUCUAUUAGUAAAGAGCUUUUCUUUCUCUCUUUUCUCAAGAUUUCAUGUGGAUUGCUUGACUUGUGUUUAGCUUUGAUGGGUUUAUUGCUGUUAUCUCGUUUAUUUUCCUUGGGAGUAAUUUGAAGGUAACACAGCUCUGUUUUAUCUUUACUAUACAUCAUGUGGGAGUUUUGUUUGCCCUCACUUCCAUGAGAUGCAUUAUGCUUCACUCACCUUCAUCUGAACUCGUGGAUUGACAUAUGAAACGAGGUUUGUAGGAGUUCAUUGGGUUCCCAUAAUUUUCGUGCUCUGUUUUCCGUUUUCCCAUGUUCUCGGUGCCCUGCCAUGGUGAAUAUCAUAGUUCUCCAUUCUGUCGGAGUUUACAUACCGGAGAGCACCCGUAAUCGCGGCCUCAGGUGCAGGCGCAGGCGGGCGCUGGUGCUGGCGCAGGAGGGCGCUGGUGCUGGCGGACGCUGGCGCAGGCGUAGGCAGGCGCUGGUGCGGGCGCUGGCACGGGCUCGGUGCACGCAGGCGGGCGCUGGUGCUGGCGCAGGAGGGCGCUGGUGCUGGCGCAGGAGGGCGCUGGUGCUGGCGGACGCUGGUGCGGGUGCUGGCGCGGCCUCAGGUGCAGACGGACGCUGGUGCGGGCGGGGCGCUGGCGCGGGCGCAGGCGCAGGCGCGGCAUCCAGUGACGAUGCCGGUGCCACCCCAGGCGACUCAUUCCACGCCGGCAACCUCUCUCUUUCUUCCACCUUGGGCUCGCCCAUGGAUGAUGGGUGUGGGCCUGAGUUGGAGCCCAGGCCCGUUUGUGAGGGUGAGGAGCCUCAUGCCAGCCAUCUUCCUGGCCCAAGUCCACCUCAAGUUAUGCCUUGGGCUUGCCCAUGUUGGCCUUGAACUUGGGCCUGAGUUGGAGCCCAGACCCAAGCUCUUGGUGACGGUUUUGGGCUUGAGUUGGAGCCCAACCUAGGCAUGUUGAUGAAGGGCCCCAUCCCCCCUAUGCUAGCCACCCUCAUUGGCCCAUGCCCACAUCAAUUUAGCCCAUUAGGUUGCCCAAAUCCACAUAAUUCUCUUAAAAACCUCUAAUAUCCAUAAUUAAUUAAUUCAAUCAUUCAAUCUUACUUGUUAUCUUAUUCUAUUUUUACCAAUUUAUUUAACUCAUCUUAAAGACAAUUAAAAGACAAAUUAUUAUUGUUAAUUAUAUUUUUUAUCUUGAAAUUUAUACUACUCAAUUUCACUAUUUUAAAUAUUAUGAUUGUUAAUUAUUAUUAUUACUCCGUACGCAUCUAUUUAUCAUAUUUUAAAAUCUUACUCAUUGAAGUUAAAUUCUAAUCCUUCAAAAACCCCAUAUCUUAAUCUAAUCUUUUAAUAAUCCGUUUAAAUCUCACUUUCAUCAAUUAAGAAUUAUUAUCAUAUAUUUAUCUAGUUAUUUGAAGUCUUACCUUCUCAAAAAUCCUAUGUCUUAAUUCAAUUUUUCAAUAGUCUGUUCAAACCUUAUUCGUCUAAAUGUUAUCUUCCUUAAGUAGAAUUAUUAUCAUAUAUCUAUUUAUUUAUUUAAAGUCUAAUUCUUAAAAAACCCAACGUCCUAGUUUAAUUUUUAACCCUAAAAAUUCUACUAUUCUUUUUUUACUCGUUUAAAUGUUAUUUUCGUUAAUUAGUAUUAUUAUCCUAUAUUAGUUUAUUUACUUAAAAUCCGAUCCUUCAAAGAUCCAAUGCCUUAAUAUCAUUUUCCAAGCCCUAAAAAAUCCACUAUUCGUCUAAAUGUCACUUUCGUUAAUUAGGAAUUAUUGUCUCAUAUUUAUUUAUUCAAAGUCUAAUCCUUCAAAAAUCCAAUGUCACAAUUUAAUUUUCAAUCCUAAAAAUUUUACAAUUCAUUUAAAUGUUAUCCUCAUCAUUUAGAAUCAUUAUACCACAUCUAUUUAAAGUUCACUCUUUCGAAAACCUCAUGUCCUAAGUUAACUUUCGAUCCCAGAAAUUCCAUUAUCCGCCUAAAUGUUAUUUUCAAUAGUUAGAAUUCUUAUCCCCUAUCUAUUUAUUUAUUUAAGGUCCAACUUUUCAAAAAUUCAACGUCCUAAUUUAAUUUUUAAUCCUAAAAAUUCCACUACUCACUUUCUAUUCGUUUAAAACAUUGUUUUCAUUAAGUAGGGUUAUUAUUCCAUGUUAUCUAUUUAAUCUAAUCGUUAAAAUUCAAUUCAUCAGAACUCGACUUCCAAAUCUAAUUUUCAACCUCAAAAGCUCCGUCGUCCAUAUAUCGCCGUUUAAUGAUUAUUCUCGUUAUUAAUGUUAUUCCAUCCACUCGCUUAUUCAGUUAUUCAUAUACCAAAGAUCUCACCUCUAAAUAAAUUCUUAAGUUUUCAAUCUCUAAAUUCACAUAUUCAAAUCUCUAAAAUUCCAUCUUUCGCAAUUAUUUACCUAAACUUUAUUACUUCCCCAUCGUUAUUAUUCAAUCCCUUUAAGUAUUCACUCAUCCACUUAUCCUCUCAUUUAAAAUCCCGAACUCUCAAAUCUUUUUCAAAGUUUCCAACCUCGUUCAAAUUUAAUUUCUAAAAAUUUUCAUUCCCGCAUUUAAUUCCUGAAAGUCUGACCUUCAAAUAAACUCUAAAAUCCCAAUUUUCUUUAAAUAACUUUUGAUAUUCCAAUUUUUCAAAUCUCAAAUAGCUUAAUUCCAUUCUGGUCUUCAAGCAAUCUUCCGCUCCUCUUGUUUUUAAUAAGCAUGAACAAAUUUUUCGUAAUUCCAAACAAUGGAAUUUAUGGGAUUAAUUCAUGUAAAAUAAACGGGUUUUGGUGGGGGCCCCACAUAUGUGAUUGAUCGAUUGAUUGAUUGAUAGAUCGAUUUGAUUAUGAUACAUGAUUGAUUUAUCCUGCUCUUUAACAUGCAUGUUAGAAAUUAUUCCUAAAUUGUAUACUAACCCCUCUAUUGAUAGCGCAUGGUGGAUCGUUGCCCAGGUAUGUACCCAUUUUCCCUCUAAUCGCUGUCUAUGCAUGUCCCGAUUCUCACGUGUGCAUGAUCACUAUGAGUAUUCAUUGAUUCCCUCAUCAAUUGUCAUGAUUGCUUCAUUUUAUUAGUAGAGACCCAACUUUAGAGACUUAGAGGGGGUGUUAUGAUCUUUACCGUACUUUCCUGAUAAGUAACCUGACCCUUGAGCUUGAUCCGGUUUUUCACAGACCAUCUUUUCCAAAAUAAGGAGUCACACUUAGAGUUUUCUUUCUUAUUUUGUUUCCUUUUUUUUAAAAAAUAAAAUAAAAUAAAAAUAAGUGGCAACUCCAAGUCAAUUCUUUUUAAUAAAUAAAAUCAUUUUUUAAAUAAAAAUUGAGCUCACCAUCAAGUGGGAAACGCAUGAGUCGAAAUGCGGGAUCCAUAAUAUUAAAGAAAAUAAAAAAUAAUUAAAAUUAAUUAAAUUUUUAUAUUUUUAAUUGUUUAAUCUUUAUUUCAAAGAGUUAAAAUUAGUGAAAUGAAUUUCAAGUAAUAUAUAAAAAUGAUUUAUUGACUUUAAAUCUAUUUUUUAUUUACCUUCACUUUUUCCUUUCUUUUACAUUUCUUUUUUAUUUUCUUUUUCUUAUAUUUUCCCUCAAACUUUUUAUUACCAAACAUAGCCUUUAUAUUUUAUUUUUGAUUUAUAAAAGGAAAAUGACAAAUAAAAUGUAUGUUAUAAAUUCAAUCAAUUAGUAUUUCAUAUAAUUGUAGAUCUUGAAUCUUUGGGAAAGAAGUUGUUGGCCAAAUAAAUGAUGGUCCAAACAAGUCAUUGAAUACCCCAAAAUUUGGUGAGUUGGUGGGGGUGAUGAUAAGAGAGAAGUCUCACUUCUUGGUUUCAACGCCCCUAGAAAUGGGUUGGUUCCUUCCAUGGGUUAGUUUGGGGUAGUGGAGGAUUUGGGCUCUUUACCAACCGUUUUCGAGAAACAAUUUUUUGUUAUUAAAAAAGAAAAAAGAAAAAUACAUUUGAUAACCAAAAAUUAUUUUUAAUUAUUUAUUAUUAUUUUCAUUUGUUUUUUAAAUAUUAUUUUUAAAAAUAAUUAUACAUUAAAAAUAAAAAUUACACAUAAAAAUGAUUUUUAAAAUAUAUUUAAAAUAUUAAAAAUAUAUUAAAAAUAUAUUUAUAACAUUUUAGGUUUUCAAGCAAACUUUUGUUAUAAAAUAUUAAAGAAUAAUUUUUAAAAAUUAUUCUCAAAAAACUAUUUUUCACAACCAUUUUCAAAAAUAGUUAUAAAAAAUAAGUCCUUAAAGUUUGGACAAUUUUCUUCUUCUUCUUUUAUUGAAAAAUUGAACUUAAAAAAUGAAAAAAAAAAAAUACUAAUUUGGUGUUUUGAUAAAAAUAAAAAUAAAUAAAAAGUGAAAACCAUUUUUUAAAAAGUUGAAAAUGAAUCAAGAAAUAAAAUUAUAUAAAAUACAUUACGGUAAUCUAAAAGGAAUAUAAAUAUUAAUGAAAUAUUAAUAUAAAUAAAAUAUUAUCUCAUCUAUUUUUAAAAUCAAAUAUAAUCUUAAAAGUAUCGUAUAAAUAUUUUGUUCAUUUAUUAAACUAAGGAUUAUUAUAAGUAAAUAUUUUUAUAUUCGAACUAUUUAGUUGAUUAAAUAUAUAAAUACAUACAUAAAUACAAAUAUAUAUAUAUAUAUAUUAUUUCUUCUCAUAAUUUUCUUCAUUAGUAGGAACUCCAUAAGAGAUGUUUUCCAAAUACAUUAUUAAAGCUGCCACAGUGAGCAUUCCAUUCUUCUUACUCGGAUCUUUUUGUUCUGCCUCUGGAGACUGAACUCAUGAACUCACACACCAUCUUCAUCAGGUACUAUGUUUGUUAAGGAAGGUGAUGACUAGUUGAUUCACCUCCUCUGGAAAUUGUUCCUGGACAAAAUGGUUUCCUUCUUCAUGGAAAAUGAUCUCCAAAUUGGGCAUAAACUCCUUUACUUUCUCGCUCCUAAUGUAUUCCUCCAUCCCCGGGAAUUUUAGAACAUAGUCCUUCUCACCCAUGAUAAGCAUCCCUGGAGCUGUAAUUUUCGGAUCCUUCACACCGCAAUCUAUACCCAAAGUCCUGCAUGGAACCAGCAAUAAGUCAUAGAUUGAUUUCAGGAUGUAUUUUGCCAAGCAACUUCAAAGGAAUUCAGUACCAUUCCAGGUGUUUUAGGCCACAAGUAUGUAAUUUCUUCAAGGAAAGUUCCCUUCUUACCUGUAUGGAACCUGUAAUGGAGUCCGAAACCCAGAAUUCUCGUAUAGACUUGAGUAGACUUUGAGAUCCUCCUCAGUGAACCAUGGUGGUAGAGGGGCAGAUGGGUCAGCCAAGUCCAUGAUCUCCUGGUCGUCACUGGCUACUUGGAGCUCACUUCUACAGAAGAGCAUGUAGAUGUUUCUUAUCACUGUCUUAACAUCAAAGCGGCCAAA